UACGUAGGGGGCAAGCGUUGUCCGGAAUCAUUGGGCGUAAAGCGCGUGUAGGCGGUCCGGUAAGUCCGCUGUGAAAGUCGGGGGCUUAACCCUCGGAUGCCGGUGGAUACUGUCGGGCUUGAGUACGGAAGAGGCGAGUGGAAUUCCUGGUGUAGCGGUGAAAUGCGCAGAUAUCAGGAGGAACACCAAUUGCGAAGGCAGCUCGCUGGGACGGUACUGACGCUGAGACGCGAAAGCGUGGGGAGCGAACAGG
rnacentral:rRNA from 1 species